rnacentral:lncRNA from 1 species
CAAGCAUUUUGUUCAAUUGCUCAGUGGGGACAAGCAGUUCAGCUCAUCAUUUAUCAGGAGCAAAGGGCUUCAGUGAAAUUCAAUAUUGUCAACGUGCUCUGGGAUGUGAAUUCCAUCCCUCCAGUCUGGGUGACACCUUCAUCUUCUCAACCAGCACUGAUAUUCCUGCCCAGGAACUUAAGAACUGCCCCUUGCUGUGGUCUGGGUCUCAAGGCUCUUUUCCUGGGAGCUUAAGACUUUUGACUUUUCCCUUGAAGGUGUCCACAUGCCUCCAUGCCUGGCUUACCUGCAGCCUGUCUAACCCCCAAGAGAUGCAUCUGAGACAGCGUCAUAACCUCUGCUUCCAAACCACCAUCGCUAAAGGCACAGUCCUGAGGGAAAUGAAUCAUCGCCUUGGAAAUUUGCAACCUAUGGGCUGAAUUCAGCUCACAGAAGUGUUUUUUCCACAGGGUGUUUUGCUUUGAUUUUUAAACUUGAAUUAGAUGCCUAUAUAAAAAAUCAGGAUAUUGAAUCUAAAAAUCCAAAUUUCUAAAUCUAAAAAUCCAAAUUUCUAACUUCUCCUGAAAAGUAGAUUGCUCCAGCAGUUCUGGCCUGUGUUUCUAUUGUAUGCUCCUACACUGUUCAACAAAAGUUCUGACAAUAAAAUUUGUUAUUUAAA